CCGCCAACUUCAUACAAAGGAAAAGUUCCAUGGAUUGUGCUGUUUAUUCUUCAAUGAAAUCCAACGGUAAAUUUCAUUGAAAAUCCACAAAUUCUAUCCAAAGCCCUGUAAAAUACAAUGGCAUUGUGUAGAAACCGAAUCCUCAAAACAACUCAUCACAUUACUCUUCUCAAGCUAUCCAAUCAAAAUUUCAUCAAUUCAACUAUUUAUACAAACAGAUAUGACCACAAUUUGAUUCAGACAAAACCCAUUUGCACCAAUGCGAGUCGAACCACAGUUGAAGCCCUGAUUUCCAUUUUUACAAAGCGACCGUUUUCUUUAGAAUCCCCAGAGCUUCAAGAGUUAAGCUCAUAUCUGACUCCUGAAAUAGUGGAAACUGUUUUGAAGUCCUUCAAGAAUUGGAGAGUAGCGCAUAUGUUCUUCAACUGGGCAUCCGAUCAAAAAGGGUAUGCGCAUAGUUGCUAUACUUAUAAUGCCAUGGCAUCAAUCCUAUCAAAUGCUCGACAAAAUGCCCCGUUGAGAGCUCUUGCUCUAAAUUUAUCGAAUUUUCAGUUUUUCUGGACGCCUGGGGCUUUGGGUUAUUUUAUAAGGUGUUUAGGUAGUCAAGGCCUGGUUAAAGAGGCUAUUGAUCUAUUUGAUCAAGUGAAGAGCUCAAGAGUUUGUGUUCCAAAUAGUUACAGCUAUAACUGUUUAUUGGAGGCAAUCUCGAGGAGUGGAGAUGUUGGUUUGAUUGAGACUAGGUUUAAUGAAAUGAGGGAUCUUGGUUGGCAGAUUGAUAAGCAUACUUUGACACCAUUGUUGCAGUGUUAUUGCAACAGUGGGGAGUUUGAAAAGGCCUUGGGUGUUUUUAAUGAGAUGAGAGACAAGGGAUGGGUUGAUGCACAUGUAUUGACUACUUUACUGGUGUCUUUUAGCAAGUUGGGCGAGGUGGAUAGGGCUUUUGAGUUGAUCAUGUGGAUGGAAAAGGAACAAAAUAUUAGUUUAAACGAGAAGACAUUUUAUGUCUUGAUUCAUGGGUUUGUAAAGGAAUCCAGAGUGGAUAGAGCCUUGCAUCUAUUAGAUAAAAUGAGAAAAACGGGAUUCAUUCCAGACAUUUCAAUCUAUGAUGUGUUAAUUGGAUGUUUGUGCAAGAAUAAAGAGAUUGACAAGGCCUUGAUGUUGUGCAACCAAAUGAGGGAACUAGGUAUGACUCCUGAUGUUAAAAUAAUGUCAAUGCUUUUAUCAUGUUUACAAGAUGAGAAAGACAUGAUUUGGUUGCUUGAAGAAAAGCAGGCAGAUUUGGAUUUGGGGAAAAGGAUGUUACUUUAUAAUUCUGUUUUGUCUGGUUUUGUUAAUAAUGGUUCAGUUAAUAGAGCCUAUCAUUUGCUGAAGGCCACGAUUGGCAAUGGAACGAAUGGAGGUUUUGAGGCAGAAAAUAUCAUUUUGGUUAAGGAAAAUGUUUGCCCUGAUACCACUUCUUUCCAAAUAGUCAUUGAUGGUCUGUGCAAAAGUGAUAAGUUAGACCUGGCCCUUGGCCUAUUUUUUGAGAUGGAUCAAAUUGGCAGUAAACGUAGUGUGUUACUUUUUAAUAAUUUAAUCAAUUGUUUGAGCAUUGCUGAUAGGUUGAAUGAAUGUUUUGAUCUUCUGAAUAAGAUGAAGGAAUCAGGAUUCCAGCCAACGCAUUUCACCUUCAAUUCCAUAUUUGGGUGCUUAUGUAGACGAGGGGAUGUUGCAGGAGCUCUUGAUAUGGUUAGGGAAAUGCGUUUGCAUGGGCAUCAACCCUGGAUAAAAUAUUAUACCCUGCUUGUCAAAAAACUUUGUGAGCAAGGGAGGGCAGAUGAUGCCCAUAAUUUCCUAGUUAACAUGACUCAGGUAGGAUUCCUGCCUGAUAUGGUUGCCUAUUCUGCAACUAUUUAUGGUUUUCUCAAGACCAAGGAACUGGAUCAAGCUUUGGAGAUAUUCAGAGAAAUAUGUAGACGUGGUUAUUGUCCUGAUGUAGUUGCAUAUAACACGAUAAUAAAUGGGCUGUGCAAAGCCAAAAGGAUACUGGAAGCUGAGGAUGCUAUGAAUGAGAUGUUCAGUAAGGGACUUGUUCCAUCAGUUGUUACUUACAACUUUUUAAUUGACGGGUGGUGCAAAAAUGGUGACAUUGAUAGAGCUCUCGUAUGUUUUUCGAGGAUGGUAGAGGAAGAACAGGAACCAAAUAUCAUAACGUAUACAACUUUAGUAGAUGGGUUAUGCAAUGCUCAAAAACCAGAUCAUGCACUCAAGCUUUGGACUGAAAUGGAGCACAAAGGAUGUGCUCCAAAUAGAAUUGCUUAUAUGGCUCUCAUUCAUGGGCUUUGCAAGUGUGGGAAAUCAGAUGAUGCUCUGCUCUAUUUGCAAAAGAUGGAAGACAAGGAGAUGACACCCGAUCCUUUUGUGUAUGAAGCUUUAGUAGAUGCUCUUAUGUCAAAUUCGAAUACAAUUAUGGCUCAUGAAGUAGCAGAAAAGAUGGCCAAGCUUACAAAUACUAGCUGAAAAGGUAAUUUUUAGUGUUCAAUAUCAGUGAAAUUAUUUUACUGAGAUUUGGGUAUGUUUGUCCCAAAUUUAAAUUCCCCUUCCACAGAGUUUUGAGAGUUUCUUAUAUCUGCUCAUUAUUUACAAUUUCCUUCAAAUAUAAGGCAAAUCGAAGAAUCAGAAACAAAUUGCACAUGCUGCUCAUGACAAACAAAAACUAUCCUCUCAUAAUUAGCCAACAUUUGCAACAUAUUCAUAGAUAAUUGCUGAAAGAGGGUUCUUAAGGUCUACUUGUUUAUUACUAUUUCUCAUAUUCAUAGAUAAUUGCAUUGAACUGUUAAAUGCUCCACAAUAGAUAUCUUGACUUGUAGGUUGUGUGUUGGUGAUUAAUAUAGUCGUGAAGUUUGUUUAGUUGGUUGUUUGUGGUGAUAUUAUCUUUUAAUGUGCACAUUUUUGUCAUAGACACUGUUUGAUUUGUUUUUUCUUCUCUAUCAAUCAAUACCAAGCCAUUCUUUAUUAAUUAAAUUGACUUAAUAUCAUUUCAGAUAGAUGAACAUAAUUUUCAUAUAUACUUCAUACUUUUUACAUAGAAAAGAGAUUACGUACAGGUAAGACAAGAAGUCAUCGAGCUUAUAAACUACAAAGACAUUGAAAAUGUUGCAUGUUGAAUCAACAGAAGAAAUUGUAUUUUCAAUAAUUGUCCACUCAUUCUCAGGCUCAGCUCCUUAUCCCAUGAAUUUUGUUUACCUAAUUCUGGAAAAUGACAUUAUUAAGAAUGCAACUUGAUUUAUUCUUAUUUAAAUUAUCUACAAUUAUUUCUAUACUUUUGUAUGUUAAAAUGUAUCUUUGUACAUUUCAGUGUCUGAGAACUGUGAAGUGAGGCAGUUAAAUGUGAAUUAUGCAUUCCUAAAUGGAAUACUACAAGAAGAUAUUUAUAUGAGCCAACCUACAUUGACAAAACAAACCAGGGCAUGCUUGCAAGGUCGAGGAUGCUCUACAUGGUUUUAAACAGGUACUAAAAGCCUGGUCUUACAGGCUAAAACCAACUCUUCUUGACCCGGGCUUUAUAAAUUCAAGUACUGAUUCCUCAUUGUUCUUUUUCAGAUCCAAGACAUAAGUGCUGAUGAUGCUCAUUUGCGUAGAUGAUAUGAUAGUCACUAGAAAUGACACAAGAGUCAUUAAAUCAAUUUGUGGAGAAGUUAUCUACAUUGAAGGACUGUGGCUCAUUACAUUGCUUUUAGGGAUUUGAAGUCUUUAGAGAUGAAAGCAGCAUUUACUUAGAAAUGAUACAUAGAGGAUCAUCUUUUAAUGGACAGGCCUACGGAACACUAAAUCUUGUCCAACUCUAGUAACUGUUGGAAGGAGUCUUGUGCCUCAGUGUAGAUCAAGGCUAGACAUUGCAGUUGUGAAUAAACGAAGUCAGUUCUUGGAGGAUCCUAGAGCCCAAAUUUGCAGGCAGUCAAAGAGAGUCCUAAGGUAUCUGAAAGGGACAGUGGAACGUAGUUUGCACAUCAAAUAAAGUAUAGGCCUAUUUGGCUUUUCUGACGCAGACUGGGUGCAUCCCUGAUGAUAGAUAUCUGUUGCUCAUUACUGUCUUCCAUAGGAACACUAUAGCAUCUUGGUAUUCUCAACAAUGUGGUUGCAAGAUCAAGUACUGAGUCUGAAUACAUGGCUUUGACUCGAGUCUCCUGUGUAUCGGCUUCGUUAGAAUCAUUGCUGAAAGAGUUCUCAUUUCCCUUGCCUCUGGUUCCUAUUACUUGGUGUGUGAACAUCAGUUCUUGUGCUCUAGCAUCCAAUCCAUUAUACCAUUCUAGGACUAAACAUAUUGAAGCUGACAUUCACUUUCUUUGUGAUCAAAUUCUAGGAAAGCAAUUAGAAGUAAGAUAUAUGCUAUCAAGUGGCUGAUUGUUCAACGAAGGUAAUGAUUCGUUCCAAGUUCAGUUCCUUGAAGGAGAAACUUGGGGUUGUCAAAAGGGCACCAUCCUAUUUAAGGGAGUUGUUGAAUCAAUUAGCUAACACCUAAUGGAGGCUAGUGAGCUAGUUUAAGAGACCGAGGCCACCACUAUUUGUGCAACAGAAAGCCAGUCAGUUCCCUUCUUUAACUCAGAAUAUUUUUCUUCUCAAUUCCAUGUGUUUGUUAUUUGAUUAUUU
rnacentral:lncRNA from 1 species